rnacentral:tRNA from 1 species
GUCCUCGUAGCUCAGUGGAUAGAGCAGCGGCUUCCUAAGCCGAAGGUCGCAGGUUCGAUCCCUGCCGGGGACG